AUUGAACGCUGGCGGCAUGCUUUACACAUGCAAGUCGAACGGCAGCGCGGGCUUCGGCCUGGCGGCGAGUGGCGAACGGGUGAGUAAUGCAUCGGAACGUGCCCAGUAGUGGGGGAUAGCCCGGCGAAAGCCGGAUUAAUACCGCAUACGACCUGAGGGUGAAAGCGGGGGACCGCAAGGCCUCGCGCUAUUGGAGCGGCCGAUGUCGGAUUAGCUAGUUGGUGGGGUAAAGGCUUACCAAGGCGACGAUCCGUAGCUGGUCUGAGAGGACGACCAGCCACACUGGGACUGAGACACGGCCCAGACUCCUACGGGAGGCAGCAGUGGGGAAUUUUGGACAAAGGGGGCAACCCUGAUCCAGCCAUGCCGCGUGCGGGAAGAAGGCCUUCGGGUUGUAAACCGCUUUUGUUCGGGAAGAAAUCCUCUGGGCUAAUACCCCGGGGGGAUGACGGUACCGGAAGAAUAAGCACCGGCUAACUACGUG
rnacentral:rRNA from 1 species